CGCGUGGUCCAUUUCGACUUAGGGCGUGGUAGCUUCAGGUCGUUUCUGCGUUGGUCUGUACCAGGUAGUAGCACAGUUUUCAGUCGGCGGAGGUCCAGUUUUACGUUAUUACUAGUCAACUCCGCUUUUAUUAGUGUGUUAUCGGCAGUAUUUCUUGUUUAUUAUUAUUGUACCGUUGCCAAAUAUUUCGUAUUCAGUGGACAAGAUCUCUUCUAUGGAAAAACCUACCUUUAAAUAUCUUAGAUAAUAAUUCCACCGAAUAGAUUAUUUUUUUAGGGAGAUUUGCUUGAAGCAAAGCUACGCGCAUCCGCUCAGAACUAAAGACUAGUCUUUUGAACAAAUUUUAAUUUAUUUAUUCAUCUAUCUACUUUUUUGCCACCAUGUGUGUGUAAUAUGUUUGUGUGUAUAUAUAUAUGUUCAAGUAUUGCUUCCUAUGCUUUUUAAUUUUGUGAUUAAUGUUGUUUUGCUACGUGUCUUUCGUGACGUUAAUCUUUGUGUAUACACAUGGCAUCGGGUAUCUGCGAAUCAAAUUUCGCGGUAUGAUUUGUUACCCUUUUCAUUUGUUUAGAAGAACAUAAUUUUUUCAUAUUUAUCCCGUGAAAUGGUGGUAGAUAUGGCAAGCCUUGGCUUGGAGCCGGUCACCUGGCCGUAUCUGGUGUGGUAAUAGUUAAUUGGUUUUUUGUUUCGGAUGUAUAAACUUCAUAGAUAUUGGGGGGACCAUAAUCGGAUCUUUUGUACAAUGCCCCCGCCAAGGCUGAAAAUAAGAAAUUUGGUAAUGAUUCAAUUGGGUUAUGUAGUUUUUUUGUUAAUCAAUCGAAGUCCAGCAAUCAUAAUUACCCCACACGGGGUUUUAAUCCGCGCAGGGUAAUCAGCGGUGCAGCGACAAGCGUGUUCCUAUCGCGCAUCAAGAUGCGACGACCACAAGGUCUGACGCUGAACAACAAGAAACCUGUAAUCCAGGUCGAAGUGAGGUGGAACUGGUAAUUUUCUUAUUUCGUACUACUCGGUAAGUUUUUGAAAUUAUUUUGCAUGGUAAACACAAUACAUACUUCGUAACAUUUUUAUCUAAUCACAGGUAUAAUGAGCGACGAAAAGAGUGAAACCACUGCUUAGGAUCGCGACUGAUCUUUGUAACUGCUGGACAGGGCUGAAGAAAAAAGAACACUUCGUCGCUGAAGAUCGCCUCCUUUGUAAGAGAGGGAGGGGCUGGUCGAAGUGAUCGAAGAUAGAUAAAAUCGUCGGAGGAACUCUAACGACGGGAAAGAAAGUGAAGAUAAAUCGAUGUUUCGAAAUGCCAAAUCUGAUGAUGGCGACUGAUCGAAACAUAUCAAGAGAAUAUGCAAGAUCUAAGAGGGCUGCUGAAUGAUCACUUGUUCUGGACAAAACUACGUUUGAACCAUGAAAGUAUGAAAGAGGCGUAUUUUAGAUGGAAUGCUACAUUACGAAUAAUAUUACAAAAAGUGCCUAUGAAGAAACGUGAACAGAGCUUGGUGAUGGAAGAUGCUGCUGACUCAAAUUUAAAAUGUGUUUGCAAUAUUUAAAAUUUUUCCUGCUCAUUUCGGAUAGGAUUUUUAUAUUUAUCACAAGCAUAACUUAAGCAGAUAUGACGAACCACGCCUUCUCGUCCGGUCCAAGUACGUUUCGAGUGUGGCAUAAACCAGUUUAAUUGUUUCGGAUACAGGGACUUCUCAAACUUUAGUGUGACCUUGUAUGUUCUUAUAUUGAUUUUACUACAGAUCGUUCCAUCUGUUGGUUAACGGCCAUGCGACUGUAUUUAUGCUUUUCCCAGCAUAUCGUUAUGUAGGCAUGUUUUGUGUGCAGUGGGGUUGAAAACAAAUUCAAAUCAUUUUCCUUUACAACCUAUAUUUGGAAGCUUGGUCUAAUUUUAAUUAUUCCGGAUGGUCUGAAAUUUGUGACAAACUUGAAUGUGCCAAGCAAAAAUUCAAGCCGAAGUCCGGGAGUCUUAUCCGACUCUUUGUUUUUUCAAUGUUAAAUUUGUUUAAGACUCCACCGACUAGCUCGCAACAAAUUUUAUUCUGUCUGUUAGCGUUGAGAUAAAUUUUACCCAUGCACUUUCCGGGGUGAGUAACAGAAAUAUGGAGAUAAGUAUUAACUGAAAUGAAUAUUCCCCCUCACCAGCUGCUAUUGAUUAUUUGAUUCAACUAUAUGUUUAUUGUGCGAUAAACGUUCUAUGUGUGCUUUUUCAUUAAUUUUUUAAUAAAUAUUGGUUGCUAACAUUUUUUUAUUAUUAUUAUUAAUAAAUUUACUGUCUUUGCCAAUCUACGUACGUAAAGUGUAAUUUUUGAUAUAUAUUUUUUUUCUCUUGUUUCGUGAAUAUAACUUCCGAGUGAACUUGAACUUUAAUAUUUUCGAAAUAAAAUGUU